CCUACGGGGGGCAGCAGUGAGGAAUAUUGGUCAAUGGGCUUACGCCUGAACCAGCCAAGUCGCGUGAGGGAAGACUGCCCUAUGGGUUGUAAACCUCUUUUGUCAGGGAGCAAUUGUCGCUACGUGUAGCGUUAUCGAGAGUACCUGAAGAAAAAGCAUCGGCUAACUACGUGCCAGCAGCCGCGGUAAUACGGAGGGUGCGAGCGUUAAUAGGAAUUACUGGGCGUAAAGCGCACGUAGGCGGUAUGUCAAGUCAAGGGUGAAAUCCCCGCGCUCAACGUGGGAACUGCCUUUGAAACUGGCCAACGAGAGUGUGUGAGAGGAUAGUAGAAUUCCAGGUGUAGGAGUGAAAUCCGUAGAGAUGUGGAGGAACAUCAGUGGCGAAGGCGACUAUCUGGCAAAUAACUGACGCUGAGGAGCGAAAGCGUGGGUAGCAAACAGGAUUAGAUACCCUAGUAGUC
rnacentral:rRNA from 1 species